CCUACGGGAGGCAGCAGUGGGGAAUAUUGGACAAUGGGCGAAAGCCUGAUCCAGCCAUGCCGCGUGUGUGAAGAAGGCCUUCGGGUUGUAAAGCACUUUCAGUGGGGAGAAAGGUUGUUUACCUAAUACGUAAGCAAAUUGAUGUUACCCACAGAAGAAGCACCGGCUAACUCCGUGCCAGCAGCCGCGGUAAU
rnacentral:rRNA from 2 species